CUGGAUUUUGCAAGAAACGCAGGCGCGUAUUUCGCACAUCGCACGCGUAUUUACCUUCACAAUAUUGGUAUCUGGACUAUAAUAUUAUGAAAAUUGUGAGAGAUACGUUAUUCGUUUGAUAUAUUGGUAUUAUAUUUAAAAAACAGGAAUAUAAUAUCUAUACUACUCUCAUUUUUCAUCUGCCGAUGGGUAGGGAAAAAUGAACAGGAUAUAAAGGUGGCCAAAGAUCUUCCAGGAAACCGAGAAUUCAUGCUAACCCUGAAGAACUGUAAACGGAAUUUUGUUAGAGCCUUCAGGAGUAAACUCAAUCCUACGUCCCUAUUGUCGCGUCACCGUUGCUCUGUAGAAUUUCCCGGAGUCUGCAGCAAGGCUGCUGCUCAUCUACACGUACUGCACAGCGCACCGCGCACUGUUCCGUAUUGAGAAGCAAAGUUACGCAGUUAUCACAUCUUGUAGGUUAUAACAAAAAAAAGAAGAUAUUCAAAAAAAAAUUUCAUUAUAAUUAUUUGAAAAUAUAAUACAAUAACGUCUAUAUGUUUGAUAUAUAAUAAAUAUGAACUAAAUAUACGUACGUAACAAUUCAAAAUCGUAUAACAGAAAUUACGCGCGGUUAUACUUCAUUUAUGAUAUUCUACUUAUAUACAAUAUAUGCAUAUAGGAGAUAAUAAAGUGUAAUGGAUAUGCAAGUUUUUUAAUAUACAUACAAUUGACAUACAUGUUAUCAAGAGUGGCAGGCGGGGGGUGAGAUGGCUGUCAUGGUGUUUAGAUGUUCGAUUGAUGUUUAAAUGAACUUUUCAUACACAUAUAUGUGUGCCACGAUACAUAAUAUACAUAAUAUACAUGCAUCACGUAUAGAGAUUUUGAAUGUUUUAAAUUCUGGCUGUUAUAUAUGUAUUCAUAUUAAAUGAUAUGGGUGUUCAUUAGCGAUGUCUCUUUAGAAUAUAGCUGUCUCACCUGCCUUUGACUGUUUUUUUUUUUCCAUGAGUUCAAUUUUACUUUUUCUUCCAUUACUGCUUCCUAAAAAUCAUACAUAGUUAAAUGCGCUCAAUUGAUAUUAUAAUCAUGACAUACAAUUCUAUGUACUCCAUACGCAAUGUAUAGAAUGUGCAUACACCGAGAACAACAUUACCUACCUAUAUAUAUAUAUCUGCCUAUAUAUGUACAAUUAAUUCACGAGGUGUACAUAUAUCUUUCACGCAUCCUUCAACGUUCUUUAAUCAUUAUCACAUGAUACGUAUCAAAUAUCACUGUGUGUUAAAUAAAAAUGCUACUUGAAUACGAAUGAAAAAAAAAAAUAAGAAGACCACUGGAUCUAGUUGAUGGUCUGUUUACACGAACUAAUACCUUCUCGACGAAAAUUCAUAUCGCCUGCUACAGUGCUUGAGAAGAAACGUUCUUUCCUCUCAAUCAUUUUUGGCUUUU
rnacentral:misc_RNA from 1 species